rnacentral:rRNA from 1 species
UACGGAGGGUCCGAGCGUUAUCCGGAUUUAUUGGGUUUAAAGGGAGCGUAGAUGGGUUUUUAAGUCAGUUGUGAAAGUUUGCGGCUCAACCGUAAAAUUGCAAUUGAAACUGGAGACCUUGAGUAUAGUUGAGGUGGGCGGAAUUCGUGGUGUAGCGGUGAAAUGCUUAGAUAUCACGAAGAACUCCGAUUGCGAAGGCAGCUCACUAAGCUAUAACUGACAUUGAGGCUCGAAAGUGUGGGUAUCAAACAGG